GACGAACGCUGGCGGCGUGCUUAACACAUGCAAGUCGAACGGAAAGGCCCCUUCGGGGGUACUCGAGUGGCGAACAGGUGAGUAACACGUGAGUAACCUGCCCUUGACUUCGGGAUAACUUCAGGAAACUGGGGCUAAUACCGGAUAGGAAUCCUUGCUGCAUGGUGGGGGUUGGAAAGCUUCGGCGGUUUUGGAUGGACUCGCGGCUUAUCAGCUUGUUGGUGGGGUAGUGGCUUACCAAGGCUUUGACGGGUAGCCGGCCUGAGAGGGCGACCGGCCACAUUGGGACUGAGAUACGGCCCAGACUCCUACGGGAGGCAGCAGUGGGGAAUAUUGCACAAUGGGCGGAAGCCUGAUGCAGCAACGCCGCGGGCGGGAUGACGGCCUUCGGGUUGUAAACCGCUUUCAGCAGGGGCGAAGCUUGUGAUGACGGUACCUGCAGAAGAAGCACCGGCUAACUACGUG
rnacentral:rRNA from 1 species